rnacentral:rRNA from 1 species
UACGUAGGUCCCGAGCGUUGUCCGGAUUUAUUGGGCGUAAAGCGAGCGCAGGUGGUUUAUUAAGUCUGGUGUAAAAGGCAGUGGCUCAACCAUUGUAUGCAUUGGAAACUGGUAGACUUGAGUGCAGGAGAGGCAAGCGGAAUUCCUAGUGUAGCGGUGAAAUGCGUAGAUAUUAGGAAGAACACCAGUGGCGAAGGCGGCUUGCUGGACAGUAACUGACGUUGAGGCUCGAAAGCGUGGGGAGCAAACAGG